rnacentral:rRNA from 1 species
AGAGUUUGAUCCUGGCUCAGAGCGAACGCUGGCGGCAGGCUUAACACAUGCAAGUCGAGCGGGCGUAGCAAUACGUCAGCGGCAGACGGGUGAGUAACGCGUGGGAACGUACCUUUUGGUUCGGAACAACACAGGGAAACUUGUGCUAAUACCGGAUAAGCCCUUACGGGGAAAGAUUUAUCGCCGAAAGAUCGGCCCGCGUCUGAUUAGCUAGUUGGUGAGGUAAUGGCUCACCAAGGCGACGAUCCGUAGCUGGUGUGAGAGCACGACCAGUCACACGGGCACUGAGACACGGGCCCGACUCCUACGGGAGGCAGCAGUAAGGAAUAUUGGUCAAUGGACGCAAGUCUGAACCAGCCAUGCCGCGUGGAGGAUGAAGGUCCUCUGGAUUGUAAACUUCUUUUAUAUGGGACGAAAAAAGGCUUUUCCAAGUCGUCUGACGGUACCAUAUGAAUAAGCACCGGCUAACUCCGUGCCAGCAGCGGCGGUAAUUC